rnacentral:tRNA from 7 species
GCCUUAGCUCAGUUGGUAGAGCAAUGGACUGAAAAUCCAUGUGUCCCUGGUUCGAUUCCUGGAGGC